UGGGGAAUUUUGGACAAUGGGCGAAAGCCUGAUCCAGCAAUGCCGCGUGUGUGAAGAAGGCCUUCGGGUUGUAAAGCACUUUUGUCCGGAAAGAAAUGGCUCUGGUUAAUACCUGGGGUCGAUGACGGUACCGGAAGAAUAAGGACCGGCUAACUACGUGCCAGCAGCCGCGGUAAUACGUAGGGUCCAAGCGUUAAUCGGAAUUACUGGGCGUAAAGCGUGCGCAGGCGGUUGUGCAAGACCGUUGUGAAAUCCCCGAGCUUAACUAGGGAAUUGCAUUGGUGACGGCACUGCUAGAGUGUGUCAGAGGGGGGUAGAAUUCCACGUGUAGCAGUGAAAUGCGUAGAGAUGUGGAGGAAUACCGAUGGCGAAGGCAGCCCCCUGGGAUAACACUGACGAUCAUGCACGAAAGCGUGGGGAGCAAACAGG
rnacentral:rRNA from 1 species